UUAGCCCAGUAACCAUUUUGUUGCUACAAUGUGAAGAUCCACUUGCACAUUUUCCAUCGUAGGUGAAAAAAAUCCGACACAAAAAAGGCAUUUGCAGGCUGUCGAAACGUGACACUUUAAGUAGGUUAAGUGUUUCCAUGUGUACCUUGUGAUCGGCUCUUGACCAGCCCAAGGUGUAGCAGGCCAUUGUGUGGUUUGACGACCCUCUUGCCACGCGUCUGCAUCCAAGGAGACACUCGAGAGUGUGUACGGACCGCCGCGCUUUUUUGUGGACAUUCAUUCUGCAAGAUAAACAAAAGGUGCUGUGGCCUCUGUUUUGUUGCUGUCAGCAGCAGAGUGCCUUCUGCGCAGAGAUGUGUGUUGUUGCGGGGGCGUACACAAACACACACACACACACAUCUGCACACCAGGGCGGUUUUUUUUUCCUGACUCCUCGAGCUUUGUAUUGUGGAAUUUUUGGUGCUCGAAUUUGGAUUUUUUUUUUAAUUUUUUGUAUUUUCUUGCUGUAUGUGAUUAGAAUGUAUUGCUGUUUCAAA